AUUGAACGCUGGCGGCCGGCCUAACACAUGCAAGUCGAACGAGUGGCGGACGGGUGAGUAAUGUCUGGGAAACUGCCUGAUGGAGGGGGAUAACUACUGGAAACGGUAGCUAAUACCGCAUACCAUCGGAUGUGCCCAGAUGGGAUUAGCUAGUGGGUGGGGUAACGGCUCACCUAGGCGACGAUCCCUAGCUGGUCUGAGAGGAUGACAAGCCACACUGGAACGGAGACACGGUCCAGCCGCGUAGGGUAGGCAGCAGGGGGGAAUAUUGCACACUGGGCGCAAGCCUGAUGCAGCCAUGCCGCGUGUAUGAAGAAGGCCUUCGGGUUGUAAAGUACUUUCAGCGGGGAGGCGUUACCCGCAGAAGAAGCACCGGCUAACUCCGUGCCAGCAGCCGCGGUAAUUC
rnacentral:rRNA from 1 species